GGGUGAGUGGAUGCUGGAGCCAAAUCUAUGAGUCUCACACUCGGUGCACAAAAACUUAACAGCUCAGAUGGAUGGGUAAAAUCUGUAUCGGUGUAGAAACUGCAUGGGAUGAAAGCUUUACAGUUCUGCAGAGGAAUCUGGUUCUGCUCUGUACCAUCUGUGCACCAAUUGUGUGGAUUGUUUGUUGAGCUUUGUUUGGUUGGGUUUUUUCCUUCAAGAAAGAUACAUAAGUCAGUAAAAAGAAUGCACUUCAGGUCAGUUUAACUCCUGAGCUAUUGUUUUUGGCCCUCGCCACUGCUGAUUAUAGGUUCAAAUUUUAUACAAGAGUUAAAAAGAAGAAUCAUGCCUAAUUACUAUUUUCUGCAAUUUAUUUAAUUUCAAAGACAACAAUUUAAUUUCAAACUUUGCUCAAAUUAGAGGGGGAAAUAAAAAAACCUGGAAAUGCAGAAAAAGUAAGAUUAGAGACCUGAUUUUCAAUGUAAGACCCUUACAGCUGAUGGUAUAUUUCUAUGUGCAGCUAAUACACACAUUGUCUGUUUGAAACCUAAUGACUGUGUGAUAGUAAAUAUCUGGUAGAUCCAGACCAUGAAGAGGGUGCUUCCAUUAGGUUUGUGCUUAUACCACUAAUAUGAUGUGUUUGUUCGCGUGUAUUUUACAAUAUACACACAAAUUAGACUGAGCGAUUCUUAGCAACAAGGAAAGGCAACAAGAAAAAAAUAAUAUAAGCUUAUACAUACAUUAAACAUUUAUAUAACGAUGCACAUUCUAUGUGCAUAACAAUAAACACAUUUCAGUCUAUGAGCAUGCAGUAAACACACUUCAGAUGACAAUUUAAAAUUAAUGUCCACGGGCACUCCAAACAUGCUGUGGCACUCGUGGAGUGAAAUCUGAGGCUAUUAAAACAAACAGGAGCCUUGCUUAAUCAGGGUUUUCCAGACUGCAAAACUCCAGAGGGGGAUCCAAGAGAACCCUUGAGGAAAUUUAAGAUCAUAUGACAUCAAAGUGAAAAAAGGCAUCACUCCUAUCUGCUUCUCCAGACGCUUCCCGUGACUUACAGGAAACACAGCACCUUAUGCUCUCAAUCAACUGAAAGCAGCAAUGGAAGAGAUGGACUAAGACUUGCAUAAACAUUGACUCAAGGAGAAGAACCCUCUUCUACGGCUCUACAUUCCAUAAAAACUCAGUUUCCUGAAGUCUUCUCUCUUGCAGGAGAAAGUGGAGAUGAUCCACAGCCUGCAACUCUACCAUAUAUUCUUUUACUGGAAUAAGAAAUGUUUUUAGAUCAACAGCUUCAGAAGCCAAUGGAGCAUCUGUGUGCCAACAUUAAAGUCUCUUUUCAGCUGUGAGAAUUCCAUGCUUUCUAAAAACCUUGCCUUCUCAUAGGAAGAUGGCCAAAAUCUCCCAGAUAGGAGUUUAUGGCAGAAAUCUACAAGUUUAGAUCACUAAUUACUGCUUUUGAAUAAAUCUCAGUGUACAUGUA